UUGUGUGUUGUGUUUACCCAAUAAUACACACUUAAUUUAAUUUUUUUUGAUCGAAUUUGUCUAGAUCUAGACGCAAGCUUUUACGUUCAAUUUAUCUUCAUAUUUGCUAUUGAAAAAAGGGUCGUUAGUAUCUUGUUUGAAUUUAUAUUUCACCAUCAUAAAAGAUGUCGCGAUUUAUCGCGGUCGCUAGUUCAGCCGUUAACAAACGCAACGCGUUUGUUUCUACUGGGCUUUUGUACAUUUUCUGUGCCCUAAAUUGUACAAGUAUUCAUAAUUUGUUGUAAUAACAAGCUGCUAAAGUCUGAAUCAUCAACGAAAAUAACGUGAUCAGCCAUCUUGUUGAAUCAUUAAAUAAAACACGGCCUCGUUUUGAGAAAUAUCACUGUCAGUCACUUACGUGAUACGAAACUCGUUCUCUCAUUGGCGACAGCGCGCCAUCAAGCGACAGCGCGCCGGCGAAAUAAAAUUUGGUUAAUUGCCGACGGUAUGGAAACGACGAACUACAACGAAUUUUUAUAAAAGGAUACGUACGCACGUAUGUUCAUGUCACGAACGACGAACGUCAUCAACUGCAGUUUUGUCGCAUCUUGGGUGGUCACAGUGGUGUGGUGGUGCCAAAGAAAAAUGCGCUUGCCAUGCCUGAGAUCCCAUAAAGCACACAUAGAAGGAUAUAAGGAAAAUAGGACGAAGCGAACUGUGUAUUGUGAACUAUUCAAGGAAAUAUUUUCCAAUAUAUCGUGAUUUGUGGCCAACCAAUACAUAAUCAGAUUGAAUGAAAAUAUGAAAAUGAAAGUAAAUUAAAUGUAUUUUUGAUCGAA